GUUGUUGUUGUCACUAUGGUAGUACUUUCUGUAGUUGUGGUGUCUUCUGUUGUUGUGAUCUCAGUUGUGGUGGCACUUUCUGUUGUAGUAUCUGUUGUGGUGCUUUCUGUUGUUGUGGUUUCGGUUAAUGUAGUGUCUGCUGUUGUACUUUCUGGUGUUGUGAUUCCAGAGGUUGUACUUUCUGUUGUUGUCUCAGUUGUGUUGCUUACAGUUGUUGUUGAAGUUUCUGCUGUUGUACUUUCUAAAGUUGUGGUACCGAUGGUGGUGCUUUCUGUUGUUGCAGUAUCCAUUGUGGUGCUGUCUGUUGUUAUUGUUGUCUCUGCUGUUGUACUUUCUAGUGUUGUGGUUCCAGUGGUUGUACUUUCUGUUGUAGUGCUUUCUAUUGUUGUUGGCUCAGUUGUUGUGAUAUCUGGUGUUGUGGUAGCUGUGGUGGUGCUUUUUGCUGUUGUAGUAGUAUCUGUUGUGGUGCUUUCUGUUGUUGUGGUUUCAGUUGUUGUAAUUUCUGUUGUUGUAGUGUCUGCUGUUGUACUUUCAGGUGUUGUGAUUCCGGAGGUUGUACUUUCUGUUGUAGUAUCUAUUGUGGUGCUGUCUGUUGUCAUUGAUGUCUCUGCUGUUGUACUUUCUGUUGUUGUCUCAGCUGUGUUGCUUUCAGUUGUUGUUGAAGUUUCUGCUGUUGUACUUUCUAAAGUUGUGGUACCGAUGGUGGUGCUUUCUGUUGUUGUGGUCACUAUGGUAGUACUUUCUGUAGUUGUGGUGUCUUCUGUUGUUUUGAUCUCAGUUGUGGUGGCACUUUCUGUUGUAGUAUCUGUUGUGGUGCUUUCUGUUGUUGUUGGCUCAGUUGUUGUGAUUUCUGUUGUUGUGGUAGCUGUGGAGGUGCUUUCUGUUGUUGUUGUUGUUGUUGUAGUAGUGUCUGAUGUGGGGCUUUCUGUAGUUGUGGUAUCUUCUAUAGUUGUGGUUUCCAUUGUUGUAAUUUCUGAAGUUGUGGUACCAGUGGUGCUGUUUUCUGUUGUUGUGGUCACUACGGUAGUACUUUCUGUAGUUGUGGUGUCUUCUGUUGUUGUGAUCUCAGUUGUGGUGGCACUUUCUGUUGUAGUAUGAGUU
ensembl:lncRNA